rnacentral:rRNA from 1 species
ACGGAAGGCAGCAGUGGGGAAUAUUGGGCAAUGGGCGAAAGCCUGACCCAGCAACGCCGCGCGAAGGAAGAAGGUCUUCGGAUUGUAAACUUCUUUUAUGAGGGACGAAGGGAUUGACGGUACCCUGAGAACAAGCCACGGCUAACUACGUGCCAGCAGCCGCGGUAAUACGUAGGUGGCAAGCGUUGUCCGGAUUUACUGGGUGUAAAGGGCGAGUAGGCGGGAAUGCAAGUCAGAUGUGAAAUACCGGGGCUUAACCCCGGAGCUGCAUUUGAAACUGUAUUUCUUGAGUGAUGGAGAGGCAGGCGGAAUUCCCGGUGUAGCGGUGAAAUGCAUAGAGAUCGGGAGGAACACCAGUGGCGAAGGCGGCCUGCUGGACAUUAACUGACGCUGAGGCGCGAAAGUGUGGGGAGCAAACAGGAUUAGAUACCCUGGUA